rnacentral:tRNA from 1 species
GGUCGCGUGGCCAAAUGGUACGGCGUUUGACUACGAUUCAUCUUCGUGUAUCAAGAGAUCGCGGGUUCGAUCCCCGUCGUGACCU